UUUGUUUUUAACGUUGGAUAAAUUGCCUGAAAGGUAGGAAAACAAAACUCAGUCGAUGGUCAAGUGUUUAAACGAUGCUUAGUAGCAACUAAUCGAUUCAACUUACUAGGUUUACCUAAUUGUGGAAAUUCUAUGACAGAAUAAUUGUGUAGGUGUUUGAGCUUAAAUAUAAAACGUGAAAAAAAUCCAAAGGUUAUCCCACCGAAGUCACGAGAAAUCAAGAGUGACCCUUAUACAAACGUUUUGGACCCACACAAGUUGGUUGCUCUCUUGAACAAGUUUUUGUGUGUGUGUGUCGUGCCACAACUUGGCAACUGUGUACGCUUUUUGGUUUCAUUUUGUCAUGCAGUUGAAAGCGUUGUGUUCGCGUACCGUUGGAGAAGUUCGUGCUCUCAAAGGCUCGCUUGCGCGUUUUGGGGGCGACACCAACUGGGCGCCCGACGUGUGUGUGUGUGGCCUUUGGCUUAAAGCUGCAAAGAAAUCAAAGAGGAUCCCACAGCGGGACGGGGGGAAAGCGGGUGCACCUUUGCGCAGAGGCAGCCUCGGCGCCCGAGAAGCUCCUCUGGGUGCACAAAGGCAGCGGCUCGUAGUUGCAACUUCGCUCGGAAGGAGUGAUCCGGCCGCACCGAGCCCGCUCCGGAUCCGCCAAAUCGGGUCGUCGAACACGGCAGCCGACAGCCCCCGUCCGGGAGACACACGAAAAUGGCGUCAUCGCCCUCUUGUUUCUGCCCGGCCGCGGCGAGCACGCUUCCAGGGGCUUCGGGCAGCCGGCACACGGCGAGCUCAGCCCCGCGGGGUGUGCACGCGGCCUCGCCGGCGUCUUUUCGAGGCAAAUAGGCCACCGCGGCGGCGGCUAGCCGACGGUGCCGUGCGGUGGAAGGACGCGCAAAGAUGGAAGGGUCACCGUUCCUGUGCGCCAGGCUGCCGCCUCUUGGAAAUGGUGCUGGGGCUUUUGGCGCACAUUAGCACCGCCGUCGCGGGGCCAAACGAGCCCGGACGGCCGUGGGGUGGCUCCGUGUCGCUACCGGCGAGGCGACUGUCGUGUUUACACGGUGAUUUUUAUCACGAUCCCUGCCGCUUUGCAGUCGCUACGAAGGGGGCCUCCACCGCUACGGCGCGGAAGGAAGGAAGGUGCAUGUCGACGGCGAGGCGAGCCGAGCCGAGCUAACCCGCUUUUUUGUUGCUCUCCAAAGCCGUAGCACCGUGCAAAAGGAGCUUUUUGAGCUGGGUCGGGGGAGGAAUAAAAGACGGGCCCGUGCUAAUAGUGCCACGGGAAGAGGGGGCGACCUCGCGCGCCGCUUCUUUUACGCAAAAACACGAGUGGGGAUAGUUUGCACACAAAAAAAGUGGGGAAGUCCGUCCGCUGCGCGAGCACCACGGCGGCGCUGCUGCUGGCUGCCGCUUUUUUGCGCAGCUGCGUGGCCCAACCGCCAUGCGAGCACCGGCCAACCUUUUGUAAAUACUUGGGACUCUUGGGCACAAAAAAAAGGGAGCACAAUAGUCACCGCGCCGGCCCCCUUUAUGGCCCGUCAAUGCGCUCCUAAGUCCCACUCCGGCUGCUCCCCACCCCCGCUCCACCCCACCCACCCCCUCGGAUCAGUUUGUGCAUGCGUCCUAGCGGCCACUACCACGACGGCGAGGCCACUCGGCUCACUCUACUUCGCCUGCUUCGGGAUCGAUCGCGACAUUUGCACAUCACUUGCUAUUUGCCGUAAGUUUAAUAAGACUUAUUGGCAGCAAAGCGUGCGAGAUGUGAUCCACCGGAUCCACGCGCGACCGACCCGACACCGGAAUGCGCCGUUUGCAAAUCGCCCGCUGGGUGUUUUGCGCCACGGCCUCUGUGUAUGUAAGAGCCGGGCUGCGGCGGCUUUGCAAAAUGCACCCGACCGGCAACGCUCUUCUGCGCUCGGCAGGCGGAGUCGAGGCGAGCUCGGAAGCCGGUCACGAUUGCACACCACCUCGCCCCCAGUGAGCGGGCGGGUCAGGGAACACCACGUCUAGCGCACCCCCCCCCCCCCCAAUCCCCCUCCUCCUCUUCGACCGUUCACGGGAUGGGCUGGUCACGCGUGGAUCGUUUUGGUCCCCCCCCCCAAGAGAUGGACAAUCAUACGCGCCGGGGGAAUGCGCUGGGCAAGGGGGAGUCACGCGUGGGUUUGUCUGCUUCCUCCACGCGCCACGCGUUAACUGCCUGCGUGUUUCAACCACCAACGUUUACCUUCCAUUCAAGCAAAGCGCCCCCGAACUUGUCAACCACGUGGACGCUUACUCUGGAAUGGAUCAAAUUUAAUAUAAUAAGUCUACACACCCAUGUUCAAAUGUGUGUGUUUGUUACAUAAAAAAAAGACAAUCUCAAAAUGUUUCCUGCCAUUGUGACCCAUCAACAAUACAACUCAAUUUGGGGUGGGUGGGAAACAAAGUAUGUAAAAAUAACUAAUUUAUUGCACAAAGCGUCCAAAACCAUUUUAUCACGUUUAAAUUCAUGUUCAAUGGGAGUCGGCGCACACAACGCACACACCUGACCUGCCAGCUUUUAAAGUGCCCCAGUCAAGAUGGCGGAGUAUCGGAUUUUACUCAAAUGUUUGUACUUCCACUUUAUAGCACAUGCAAAGUUGGGCAGCCAACUUUCUUGUCAUCGGAGGGAUCCAGUUGUUCAAAUUCGGGUCCGGGGGCCAAAUUCAGCCCACGAUGUAAUUCUAGAUCACAUCAAAUGUGUAUUAGAGAGGGCCCGCACAUGUGGCACUAAUACUACAAAUCCCAGAAUGCUUCACUGUUCCGUUUCCCCAUCAACCUAGA